rnacentral:rRNA from 1 species
UACGUAGGGGGCAAGCGUUGUCCGGAAUCAUUGGGCGUAAAGAGCGUGUAGGCGGCCCGGUAAGUCCGCUGUGAAAGUCCAGGGCUCAACCCUGGAAUGCCGGUGGAUACUGUCGGGCUAGAGUCCGGAAGGGGCGAGUGGAAUUCCUGGUGUAGCGGUGAAAUGCGCAGAUAUCAGGAGGAACACCAAUGGCGAAGGCAGCUCGCUGGGACGUGACUGACGCUGAGACGCGAAAGCGUGGGGAGCAAACAGG